rnacentral:tRNA from 1 species
UCCCUGGUGGCUCAGAUGGUAAAGUGCCUGCCUGCAAAGCAGGAGACCUGGGUUCCCCUAGGUCGGGAA